AGGCUUCUGAGUGCGCGGGAACUUACCUGAGUGCUUCAUGUAUUCUGGAAAUGCACUCUCUCGGUUCCUGGGAAGCCGGUUGCAGCUUUUGUUUCCUGUGCCCUCUUGGGUGCCUCCUCUCCUGCCCAAGAAUCCAUCAUGCCUGAACACGUGGAGCUGAACUCUGAUGUGGAACAAAACCAGUGCUAGGGAAGUGGACUUUACAUCUAUACUUAAAACAAAAGAAAACAAAUAAAAAUGUGGGUCUGAUUACUCCUAAGUGACUAACCAGAAAAAGAAAAAAAUAUCUGUGAACCUGUGGAGUCUGGAAUGUGCUGGCAACAAAGAACCUGGACAUCUCUUGGCAUCUUCAAUUAUGUUUUUGAAAUAGGAGGAGGAAGCUCUAACAUGACCACAAAUAAUCUCAAGGGUGAAUUAUUACCGCUUCCUUAGAGAGAAAUUCACAAAUUGCCUAAUAGUUGUAAAUAAAGGUAAAAAUACGUGACCCUGAA